rnacentral:lncRNA from 1 species
AAGUCCUUACUUAUAACAAUUAUAAGUUAGUCUAAUUAUCAAUCACAUUGAUAAUAUGAAUUUCAACCAUCUGAUCAGUCUCGUAGUCCUUAUGUGUGUGAUCCCAUGGUUCUAUUCUGUCUAGUAGUAAGUCAUGUUGUGAUCUUUAUCACGACAUCAUUGAAACUCCUUUCAAUGUGGAACACUUUCAAUUUUUUUUAAUUGAGAAUCAUUCGAUCAUCUGUUUGAUUCUCUAUAGACCCCAU